CUUUUUCCUAAGGGAAAUAAGACUGCUCUUGGAAGCUACCUCCAUACCAUUUGUGCGGAGUAUUUUCUAAGAUGUGGCUGUGUCAGUAACUCAUAGGGCCCAAAGGGGCUUUCCCUGCAGCAUUCACCAUUGUGAGAUAUCAGGAGCCAGAGCGCAGGUAUGUGGAGUCACAGACACAGGGAUGGCUGAAACAUUUUCCCAUAAAAAACAUCCAUGUGUGGUUUUGUUUUUCUGUGUUUGCCAGGAUAUAAUCACUAUUUGAUGCACGCAAUUGCCAACAUGGCUUCUUUUCUCAAAAUAAAAUAAAAUGGUCCCAGAGGAAAAAGGAUUUACAAGUAAUGUUGAGUCCAGGAGAGCAGUUCUGGAUCCUGCUGCUGGUCUGGUGGUGACCCAGCCUGAGCCACAUUCCUGCAUGGGGCAACAGUUACUGCAACUGUAGCACAGGGCUAGUGAUAACUGAAACCCCCAGAAAAGCACCUGGAGAUACAGCAGCAAAAUCAAAAGGGUCAUCGUGUGAGAUAAAGAACCACCACUUGAACUCAUCUGACUUCACUCCAGCCCUGUGCUUAACCCCUUGUGACCGUGUUUUCCCUCCCUUUCCUAAGCAGGUGAGCCUGGGGAGCAGAAAAAUUAAGAUAUUUCCUUCUCACACAGAAACCACACAUCCCUCCCUCCUCCUUGUGUGGAACAAAGUACUUUCAGAGGGUGACUUUGGCUCCUUGGUUUGUUUCUCUUUUCUUUUUUUUUCCAGUCUUCACCUGAAAACUAUCCACUAUUUGUCACCUGAGAAGUAUCUGAAAUAUUCUAGACAGAAGUGUUUGUAUGAGAUUCCAUAGUUAAGUUUGGAAGGUCUGAAGUGGAAACAUUUCUUGGCUCACAGAAAUUUGACUCCAAUUUUCGUAGUAUAUAUAUAUUAAAAGCUUCUCAGCCUGUAGGAAGCACUGAAAUUAAUACAGGCUUGCACUGUAAGGCGUCUUUUAUUCAAUUAGAACACAUACCAUGUUAACAUUCUUCAGUGUUGUCAUAAUUCCUUCUUAUUUUUCAGUGAGAAUUAACUUGUCAGCUGUGAAGUAGGUUCUAAUUUGUUCAUAAAUCAUUUUGCUGCGGGCUAAAAUGUGACAGAGUGUAGGUAAACACAAUUUAUCCGGAAAAAAAAAAAAAAAAGACAACUAUAUCAUCAGGUCUCCGAUGUCUCCAGUUUACAUAUCAAGGUUCUCCAGAUCCCCUUACGUUGUGCUACUGCGUCGUUCAGGCAAGAGAUCGGCACGAGGCUGAGAACAACACCCAAAUCAAUAAUGGGACCAUUUCAAAAUCUGACAAGGGAUUAAUGAGCAAUUCAGAUUUCUGCUUCGCCCUUGGAUCACACCGGCUCUUUCUCACCUUUGUGACUACAGGAUGUUCAGGAUGAUGACCUGACCCUGCAAACCGUACAGAUGUGGGUGAGCUCUGUUCCUGGGCACAGCUGGCGUUCACCCUGGAGCGGCCACUCCAUUCUCUCUUGCAUUUCAAACAUCCCUCACUGUGGCGAGGCUGUUGAUUUGCUAUUGCAGUUGAAAAUUUUUGACAGGUGACUCAUCCCUGCUCUAGCAAUAUGCUGCGUUUGAUCAUCGAGUCCUAGAGGGCUUUUAGCAAGCAAUUAGGAGGUGGAUGUGAAAAUAAUUUGUACGUUUGUCUGUUUGUUGUUUGUCUCCAGCUCUCCUGUAAUCAGUUACCUCUCUGCCUUCCGCUGUGGGCAGGAGGGGCCCAAGAAAUUCGGUUGUCAUGGGAGAGGGCUGUUCGGGGCUGUUGGGAGCUGUCGUGCUGCUACUUGUCCACAUCCCCAACGAAAAGCUCUCCACUAAUAAUUACCACAUCACUGCAAACAGACUGAGGAGAGACAUGAUGUAAAAAUUAAAUUACUUAAAACAUUUUUUGGGCUAACACUCGGCUUUAUAUAAACUCAGAGACAAUCCUAUAAGGCACUCAGGGCAGAUUAUAGGUUUGGGCAAAGCUAGAAAAUUGCUGCCAUUAUAUUGUUAUUAUUAACACCUUGUAAUUAGCCCUAAGGAAUCCUGAAGUUCUCUCUCCUGAUUUGGCUUUAAUGAAGGAAAAUUGCUACCUUUGCAAGUUGGAUGGCGCCCGCUCUGAUUAAUCUUAAGUAUAUAGGACUAUUAUUUUGAAAAUGUUUGUUGUCAUGUGAAUAUUAGUAUUGCAUGUAAAGGGGGGGGGGGAGUGCAGUGGGCUCUUCUCUCUCUUGGCUGUGAUGAGUCACAUGUUCACUUUAGUUACGGUCAUUCCCUUCAAGAUAGAGAAUGGAAACCUUGAGAAGAUAUCCCGACCACAAGCUAAUGAAUUCAGGAGGAUCCUGUGGCAAGGGCUGCCAGCUGCCCUACUGGCUGAUUGCAUUGGCUGAUGGAGUAAUUGUUGCAUGGAGAUAGUUUUAUGAUUGCUUUGAGAGUCUGAAUGAGAUCAUGCAUGAGUUAGCACACUAAGUGCAAUAAAAAUGAUUUUAUUUGCA
ensembl:lncRNA